rnacentral:rRNA from 1 species
UACGUAGGGGGCAAGCGUUGUCCGGAAUCAUUGGGCGUAAAGAGCUCGUAGGCGGCUUGUCACGUCUGCUGUGAAAUCCCGGGGCUCAACCCCGGGCGUGCAGUGGAUACGGGCUGGCUAGAGGCAGGCAGGGGAGACUGGAAUUCCUGGUGUAGCGGUGAAAUGCGCAGAUAUCAGGAGGAACACCGGUGGCGAAGGCGGUUCUCUGGGCCUUACCUGACGCUGAGGAGCGAAAGCGUGGGGAGCAAACAGG